rnacentral:rRNA from 2 species
AACGCUAGCUACAGGCUUAACACAUGCAAGUCGAGGGGCAUCAUGAUCUAGCAAUAGAUUGAUGGCGACCGGCGCACGGGUGAGUAACACGUAUCCAACCUUCCAUUAACUCGGGGAUAGCCUUUCGAAAGAAAGAUUAAUACCCGAUAGUAUAGCAUUUCCUCCUGGUUUUGCUAUUAAAGAAUUUCGGUUAUUGAUGGGGAUGCGUUCCAUUAGUUUGUUGGCGGGGUAACGGCCCACCAAGACUUCGAUGGAUAGGGGUUCUGAGAGGAAGGUCCCCCACAUUGGAACUGAGACACGGUCCAAACUCCUACGGGAGGCAGCAGUGAGGAAUAUUGGUCAAUGGACGCGAGUCUGAACCAGCCAAGUAGCGUGAAGGAUGAAGGCUCUAUGGGUCGUAAACUUCUUUUAUACGGGAAUAAAGUGAACCACGUGUGGUUUUUUGUAUGUACCGUAUGAAUAAGGACCGGCUAAUUCCGUGCCAGCAGCCGCGGUAAUACGGAAGGUCCGGGCGUUAUCCGGAUUUAUUGGGUUUAAAGGGAGCGCAGGCCGUGGGUUAAGCGUGUCGUGAAAUUCCGUCGCUCAACGGCGGACGUGCGGCGCGAACUGGUCCACUUGAGUACGCGGGACGUUGGCGGAAUUCGUGGUGUAGCGGUGAAAUGCUUAGAUAUCACGAAGAACUCCGAUUG